GGCGGACGGGUGAGUAACACGUAGGCAACCUGCCCUCAAGACCGGGAUAACAUCCGGAAACGAAUGCUAAGACCGGAUACGCAAGCCUGUGGCAUCUCGGGCUUGGGAAACACGGCGCAAGCUGUGGCUUGGGGAUGGGCCUGCGGCGCAUUAGCUAGUUGGCGGGGUAACGGCCCACCAAGGCGACGAUGCGUAGCCGACCUGAGAGGGUGAACGGCCACACUGUGACUGAGACACGGCCCAGACUCCUACGGGAGGCAGCAGUAGGGAAUCUUCCACAAUGGGCGCAAGCCUGAUGGAGCAACGCCGCGUGAGUGAGGAAGGCCUACGGGUCGCACAGCUCUGUUGCCAGGGAAGAAUAAGGGCCAGUUAACUGCUGGUUCGAUGACGG
rnacentral:rRNA from 1 species